AUUGAACGCUGGCGGCAGGCUUAACACAUGCAAGUCGAGCGGGGGGAGGUAGCUUGCUACCGGACCUGGCGGCGGACGGGUGAGUAAUGCUUAGGAAUCUGCCUCUUAGUGGGGGACAACAUCUCGAAAGGGAUGCUAAUACCGAAUACGUCCUACGGGAGAAAGCAGGGGAUCUUCGGACCUUGCGCUAAUAGAUGAGCCUAAGUCGGAUUAGCGAGUUGGUGGGGUAAAGUCCUACCAAGGCGACGAUCUGUAGCGGGUCUGAGAGGAUGAUCCGCCACACUGGGACUGAGACACGGCCCAGACUCCUACGGGAGGCAGCAGUGGGGAAUAUUGGACAAUGGGGGGAACCCUGAUCCAGCCAUGCCGCGUGUGUGAAGAAGGCCUUAUGGUUGUAAAGCACUUUAAGCGAGGAGGAGGCUACUUUAGUUAAUACCUAGAGAUAGUGGACGUUACUCGCAGAAUAAGCACCGGCUAACUCUGUGCCAGCCGCCGCCGUAA
rnacentral:rRNA from 1 species